rnacentral:rRNA from 1 species
GGGGAAUAUUGCACAAUGGGGGGAACCCUGAUGCAGCGACGCCGCGUGAAGGAAGAAGGUCUUCGGAUCGUAAACUUUUUUGAUUGGGGAAGAAGGAAGUGACGGUACCCAAAAAACAAGCCACGGCUAACUACGUGCCAGCAGCCGCGGUAAUACGUAGGUGGCAAGCGUUGUCCGGAAUUACUGGGUGUAAAGGGCGUGUAGGCGGGAAUGCAAGUCAGAUGUGAAAACCCAGGGCUUAACCCUGGGAUUGCAUCUGAAACUGUGUUUCUUGAGUGCUGGAGAGGAAAGCGGAAUUCCUAGUGUAGCGGUGAAAUGCGUAGAGAUUAGGAGGAACACCAGUGGCGAAGGCGGCUUUCUGGACAGUAACUGACGCUGAGGCGCGAAAGCGUGGGUAGCGAAC